rnacentral:rRNA from 1 species
AUCUUUAAAAUUAAAGAAUUUGGCGGUAUUUUAGUCUGUUCAGAGGAACCUGUUUUUUAAUCGAUAGUCCACGAUAAUUUGUACUAUAAUUUUAAAUUUGCAUAUCGUCGUUAUUAAAAAUUUUAGGAUUUAAUUUUUUCAGAUCAAGGUGUAGUUUAUGUUAUAGUUAGAAUGGGUUACAUUAAAAAUUUUUAAUAAAAUGGAUUUGGGAGUAAGCUCUAAAAUAUGCACAUAUCGCCCGUCGCUUUCACUUUAAGGUGGAAUAAGUCGUAACAAAGUAGGCUUAUUGGAAAAUGAGCCUGGAAUGCAAAUUAGAGCUUGGUAAGCAUUUUAUUUACAUUAAAAGGUUAAUUGUGAGAUUCAGUUUAAUUUGAACUUUGAAGGUUAUUGUUUUUGAUUAUUAUAUUUUUUUUGUAGAAGAAUAUUUUUUUUUAUUUUUUACUAGAAAUAAUUUUAUUAUAGUUGAAAGUACUGUAAGGUACCUUUUUGAGGUUUUUUAAAGAAAUUUUUAGUUAUUGUACCUUGUGUCUCAGGGCUUAUUUAUUAAGGUUUCCCGAAUUCAAAAGAGUUAAUUUUAAUGUGGAAUAAUUAUUUAUAAUUAUAUCUUAGUAAUGAAACGUUAUUCGUUUUUGAAUAUAUCUGGUUUUUUAAGAAAUUAAUUUAAUUUAGUGAACUUUAGUAUGUGAAUAGGGGAUAAGCUUUUGAGUUUAUUAUUAUAAUUAAUUAUUUUGGGAAAAUUUGUAGGAUUAGAAUUUUCCUUCUUUUAGAGGAUGUUAUAAUUGAUUUGUUUAAGUAUUUUAUUAAAUUUUUUUUUGUAAUUUUCAAAUUAGUAAUUAUGAUAAGAUUAGUAAGGUUAUUUUAAGGAACUCGGCAACUUAAUUUUCACCUGUUUAUUAAAAACAUGUCCUUUUGUUAAUGAUUUAAGGUCUGGCCUGCCCAAUGAUUGAAUGGCUGCAGUAUUUUGACUGUGCAAAGGUAGCAUAAUCAUUAGUUUCUUAAUUAGAAGCUGGAAUGAAUGGUUUGAUGAAAAAUUUACUGUCUCUAGAAUUUUAUUUUUAAGUGAAAAAGCUUAAAUAGUUUAGAGGGACGAGAAGACCCUAUAGAGUUUUUUUGUUGGGGUGAUGUUAAAAUUUAUUAAACUUUUAAUUUUUGUGAGUUUGUGAUCCUAGAUUAUAAGAUAAAAUUACCUUAGGGAUAACAGCGUAAUUUUUUUUGAAAGUUCUUAUUG